UACAGAGGUCCCAAGCGUUGUUCGGAUUCAUUGGGCGUAAAGGGUGCGUAGGCGGCGCGGUAAGUCGGGUGUGAAAUCUCGGAGCUUAACUCCGAAACUGCAUUCGAUACUGCCGCGGCUCGAGCACUGUAGAGGCAGGCGGAAUUCCGGGUGUAGCGGUGGAAUGCGUAGAGAUCCGGAAGAACACCGGUGGCGAAGGCGGCCUGCUGGGCAGUUUAGCUGACACUGAGGCGCGACAGCGUGGGGAGCAAACAGG
rnacentral:rRNA from 1 species